rnacentral:rRNA from 1 species
UACGUAGGGGGCGAGCGUUGUCCGGAGUUACUGGGCGUAAAGGGCGCGCAGGCGGUCUGGCAAGUUUGGAGUGACAGUGCUCGGCUUAACUGAGCAAGGCCUUCGAAAACUGCUAGACUUGAGCACUCAAGAGGGACAUAGAAUUCCGGGUGGAGUGGUGAAAUGCGUAGAUAUCCGGAGGAAUACCAAAGGCGAAGGCAGUGUCCUGGGGAGUGUCUGACGCUCAGGCGCGAAAGCUAGGGGAGCGAACAGG